rnacentral:rRNA from 1 species
AUUGAACGCUAGCGGGAGGCCUUACACAUGCAAGUCGAACGAGUGGCGGACGGGUGAGUAAUGUCUGGGAAACUGCCUGAUGGAGGGGGAUAACUACUGGAAACGGUAGCUAAUACCGCAUACCAUCGGAGGUGCCCAGAGGGGAUUAGCUAGUAGGUGGGGGAAAGGCUCAACAAGGCAACGAUCCCUAGCUGGUCUGAGAGGAUGACCAGACAAACGGGGACUGAGACACGGCACAGACUACUACGGGAGGCAGCAGUGGGGAAUAGUGGACAAUGGGGGAAACCCUGAUUCAGCCAUGCCGCGUUUAUGAAGAAGGCCUUCGGGUUGUAAAGUACUUUCAGCGGGGAGGCGUUACCCGCAGAAGAAGCACCGGCUAACUCCGUGCCAGCAGCCGCGGUAAUUC